rfam:Candidatus Kaiserbacteria bacterium RIFCSPLOWO2_01_FTLL_50_24 rifcsplowo2_01_scaffold_529, whole genome shotgun sequence.
UGAGGUAUGAGAGUCAUCUCAAAUGCAAAACAAGAAGUCAGCAGAGUUCGUAAUACCAGACGGUAUCAGUGGUCUGAAAAGGAUCGCCGCCGCAAUUCAAAAUUGCAGGCGCCGUUUGGGAAGGAA